rnacentral:miRNA from 15 species
GUGCUUACGAAAAUACCUUGGC